rnacentral:pre_miRNA from 1 species
UAUAAGAGAUUUUAAGUUUUUGCUUGCAACGUUUGACCACUUGUCUUAUUCAAAAAAUUUUGAAAUUAUUAUUUAUUUUAUUACUUUAUUAUCUACAGUACUUUAAGCACAACUUUUCAUUUUUUAUAUUUGUAAAAAAAAUUUGAAUAAGACGAGUGGUCAAACAUUGAAGCAAAAACUCAAAAUCCCUUAUA